rnacentral:misc_RNA from 1 species
UCCGAGUUGACCCCGGCAGUCUCCUGAGAGUGCCCGGCAUUACCCGGUAGCAACACAGGACAAGGGUUGCGCUCGUUGCGGGACUUAACCCAACAUCUCACGACACGAGCUGACGACAGCCAUGCACCACCUGUGAUGGUGUCCCGAAGGAAAGGUGUGUUUCCACACCGGUCACCAACAUGUCAAACCCAGGUAAGGUUCUUCGCGUUGCGUCGAAUUGAACCACAUGCUCCGCUGCUUGUGCGGGUCCCCGUCAAUUCCUUUGAGUUUUAGCCUUGCGGCCGUACUCCCCAGGCGGGUCACUUAAUGCGUUAGCUCCGGCACGGAGGGAGUCGACACCCCCCACACCUAGUGACCAUCGUUUACGGCGUGGACUAC